ACUAAAGGUUUUGGAACUUCUGAAUAAGCACUCGUAAUAGUUUUUCCUUGUAGAGAGAGAGAGAGAGAUGUCGAGGUCAUUGGUGCAGCCCAUAGGGCAGAAGAGAUUGACGAACAUGACGGUGGUUUGACUGAAAAAGCAUGGAAUGCGCUUCGAGAUCGUCUGCUACAAGAAUAAGGUCCUCUAAUGGCGUUCUGGAGUU